GAAUAUAAACUUUAUGUGUGUGCUCUCCUAUCGCCCGGUUAGCCGGGCGUUGGAGUGGUGCCAUGUCUUAACAAUAAACGACUCUCGGCAACGGAUAUCUCGGCUCUCGCAUCGAUGAAGAACGUAGCGAAAUGCGAUACUUGGUGUGAAUUGCAGAAUCCCGUGAACCAUCGAGUUUUUGAACGCAAGUUGCGCCCGAAGCCUUCGGCUGAGGGCACGUCUGCCUGGGCGUCACGCAUCGCGUCUCCCCCACAUUCCACCUUGGUGGAGGGGAAGGAGGAUGGUUUCCCGCGACUCACCGGUCACGGCUGGCCUAAAAUUGGAGCCCUCGGCAUCGGGAUGCCGCGGCGAUAGGUGGUGAACAAGGCCUCGGCCAAGCAAGCAACCCGUCGCGCAUUGCCGUGCCAAUGCGGGCUCGAAGGACCCUUUGUUGUUGUCUUUAAGGCAACCAAACCGUUGCG
rnacentral:rRNA from 1 species